CGUAGGCGGUCUAGUGUGUCUGGUGUAAAGGCAGUGAACAGACCGUGGAUAUGCGCUGGAAACUGCUCGGCUAGAGGACGGAGAGGGGAGACGGAACUGCUGGUGUAGGGGUGAAAUCCGUAGAUUUCNGNAGGAAUCAGCCCGUGGGAGAAAGUCGGACUCUCCUGGGCUGGUCCUGACGCUGAGGCGCGAAAGCUAGGGGAGCAAACCGGAUUAGAUACCCGGGUAGUCCUAGCCGUAAACGAUGCUCACUAGGUGUGGGGGCGAAAGUCUCCCCUGCUGAAGCUAACGCCGCAUAAGUGAGCCGCCCUGGGGAGUAUGCCCGCAAGGGUGAAACUCCNAGGAAUUGAC
rnacentral:rRNA from 1 species